AAAUUGAAGAGUUUGAUCAUGGCUCAGAUUGAACGCUGGCGGCAGGCCUAACACAUGCAAGUCGAACGGUAACAGGAAGAAGCUUGCUUCUUUGCUGACGAGUGGCGGACGGGUGAGUAAUGUCUGGGAAACUGCCUGAUGGAGGGGGAUAACUACUGGAAACGGUAGCUAAUACCGCAUAACGUCGCAAGACCAAAGAGGGGGACCUUCGGGCCUCUUGCCAUCGGAUGUGCCCAGAUGGGAUUAGCUAGUAGGUGGGGUAACGGCUCACCUAGGCGACGAUCCCUAGCUGGUCUGAGAGGAUGACCAGCCACACUGGAACUGAGACACGGUCCAGACUCCUACGGGAGGCAGCAGUGGGGAAUAUUGCACAAUGGGCGCAAGCCUGAUGCAGCCAUGCCGCGUGUAUGAAGAAGGCCUUCGGGUUGUAAAGUACUUUCAGCGGGGAGGAAGGGAGUAAAGUUAAUACCUUUGCUCAUUGACGUUACCCGCAGAAGAAGCACCGGCUAACUCCGUGCCAGCAGCCGCGGUAAUACGGAGGGUGCAAGCGUUAAUCGGAAUUACUGGGCGUAAAGCG
rnacentral:rRNA from 1 species